UCAUAUAGGUUAACACUGUUUCCUCUUUCUGUUAUUUUAAGAUUAAAACAGGGUAUUUAAGGAAAUUCAAGGCCAACGGGGAGAAUCUGGAAGCGCAGUCAUGUGGAUUAGGGAAUUGGUGACCUGGAAUUACCCUGGUUACCUUCUAGAAAGGCGGCUUAGUGUCCUAACGGUGAGGAUGACGUGGCAUUAAUUCAUUGGAGAGAAAACCUGUUCGCUGUUUUAACCUUGUAAUUCGUCAUGUAAACGUGGCGUCAUUUCAUUGGAUAUCGAGAGAGCUAGGGAUCAAUCGCGCCAAAUCGUUUCGAGGUGCUUCUCUAACUAGGGUUAGGGUUUUAGUUCUUGGAUUAAUGGCCUCGGAUGCUUCGAUUUGAUCUUUAUUGGUUGUGAUGCCUCUUUUUUUCCAGGUUUCUGUGAGAUUUGCUUUCUUGGUGGUUGUUUGUUAGAUUGAUUUCAUUAUCUGAUGAUAAGGAUUUGUGCCUUCUUGAUGUUCUUUAUUGUUUAUUUGAAUUGGAAAAUCUGGUAAUGUUUAUGUGUGUAUGUGCUUGUAUAAUUGGUUUCAAACAUUGGUAAUGAUGCACAUUUCUUCUUUGUGGUGUGAGCAAUAAGGAAAAAAAAAAAAAAAAUUAUAUCUGAGUACUAUGUUUGUUGUCCCCUUAUGUCUUUAUAUCUUUUUUUGUAAGAUUUGCAAUAAUUAAGGCUGUUUGGUAAAGAGAUUUCAUUGUCUGAUGUUUUUGUUUAAAUAUGCUCAUAUGAUUAGUUUCAAAAAUUGGUAGUUAUGUUUAGAAUAGAAGGAAAAUUAUAUUAGAGCACCAUGUUUGUUGUAGCUUUUUGUUUCAAAAUUUCUGUAAGAAGUUCAAUAUUUGAAGCAGUUUGGUAGAUAAUGCUAAGAAUUUCUGCCCCUUGUCCUUGUUAUAUGGUUCAUUUGAUUUGGAAAAUCAAUGAUGUUUAAGUCUAUUUGUGCUUGUAGAAUUGUUUCAUACAUUGGUAGUGAUAUUUAUGAACAUUCUCCUUUGUGGUUUGUGCUAUAAGAGGAAAUCCAUACUACAUUCAUUCACUAUAGUAACACCAUUUCAUGACAUUUAAACUGAAUGACAUAUAAAUACACAAAAGCUUCAGAUGUUUUUGGCUUAAGAGUUCUAUCAUGUUGGAUCUUCUGUGUCGAACCAUGUAACUCCUUAUAAUUAUUAGCAGCUAUAUGAUUUAUUCAAUUGUGACGCAUCAAAUGUGGUUCUGAUGGUAACAUUAGGUGAUUGCUAAUCUUUUUUAUUUAUAUAUGGUAGAACUUGUUUAUCUGAUACUAGUGUUAAUAUUUACUAUUCAAGGGUGAAUGGUUGAUACAUACUAGUUUGCUCAGCUAUAAAGUUAACUGAAUCCAGGUGACACCUUUAACAGUUACCAAAAAAGAAAAAGAGGAAAAAAGAAAAACUUGGAUGCUCACACUAGUUUGAGAUGCUCUAAUGUUUUAGGAACGGUUUGCUGAUAUUUUGGGCUUUGUAAUAGCCUAAGAGGAUUAUGUACUGAGUUAAUGAACAAUAGCAAGGUUUUGAUUCAACGGUAUCUAGCUUCUGAAUUUUAAAGCCACCUUGUGUUCCAGCCAUCCCAGCAUAUUCUCUGGGCUCUCCAACUGAAUAUAGUAAGUAGUAAACUAAUUUAUCAAUGACUAUUAAAUAACUGAAAUUAAUUCAGUCAUCAUUAUGAGCACAAGAUGAACUUAGAAUUUUAAAGUGCCUCAUUUAAGUUGGUCUUCCCAUUGGUUUCUACCCUUUUCUUGUAUCAUGUGGGAAUACAUUGUAAUCAAGUAAAUUCUUCAGGGAAUAUGAGUUUGGGUUGACCUCAUUGCUAAUGGAUCUUCCAUCUGAGUAAUUGAUCACUCUGAAAUUUGAAGAGCUACCAUGCUAUGCAUUGUUCUUUCUUUUUACAUUUGGCUUCUCUUUGCCUGUCAGUUCUUGGAAAGAUUUCGCAGGAUGUUUGUGACACUCUAUUUUGGUGGAUCAGUAUAUUUGGAUGAUGGCAGAGCAGUUAGGGUAUUAUGCACCAUAUCUCACAUUAAUAUGGGCCAACUUUACUGUUCAAAUCAAAGUUUGAAACCAAACUUCUCCUCAGAAGGAUGGAUUGGGCAAUCUGAACUUAUCCGUGCCUCAGAACAAGAAUGUUAUAUUGAAUUGUAAAGAAUUAAAAUUUCUUGGUAAAUCCUUGUCAGGUGGACAGAAUGAAUUAUUUGUCAUGCCAAAAGUAUCAUGCCAAAAGAGAAAGGCUAUUGAAUUGAUAGCUUCAGAUCAGGAUUAGAUGCCAUAUGUUCUUCUUCUUUGCUGUCAUUUUCAUUAACUCCUUUUUAUGGUUUCAAUUAGAUCUUUUUAUUUAUCACCAAGCAUUAUCUUUUUUUAAAAUCCAAAUCUUGCUUGCAUUAUGUGUGGUGUAUAUAUCCCGUCUAAAAUGUUGUCAGUUUACAUCUAUACUUAUUUUAAUUUGGUUUUUCUUGCAUUAGUUGUUCUGAUAUUUGGGGCCUAUUGGCUUUCCUCAGUAGUUGUUACCUUUUACAAUCAAAGCAAUUGCAGGGAAGACAAUGCUUUAAUCAGCUACAAUUUCUAAAUUUCAGAUUCAGCUCAGAGAGACAGAGGAUGAUAAAACUUCCAAAAGUAAUAGAGGAAAGUUACAGCCAGUGGAAGUACUCAAAUUUAUUCAAAGCUAACACCAGUAUUCUGCUACCUCUCCUGACAAAACCCCCCCACUGCUUAUGCAUGGAGCUUCUUCAUCUUCUCUUUUUUAGGGUAAUUAAGAGUCUCUCUGUCUGUCUCUACUUUUCCUUGCAGAGAAAUUGGCAAAAUUAUUACAUGCACACAUGAAAACACCAGGUUUACAUGUAUGUGCUCUUUUACAGUCUCCUUCAGUAGAUAAACUUGUGAAUUCAAUAUAGCAUGCAUCAAGGCACCAACUAAGACUUUUUCUCAUGUGUAUAUAUAUAUAUAGUUAUAUCUACAUAUAUAUAUAUAUAUAUAUAUAUAUAGUUGAUCAACUGAUCAGUUGCCAUGUAUUGCAGAAUGCACAAGA